GAUCCCAACUUCCUGCUGGUGCUCGGGGACCUGGGAAAGGAGCCCGCCGAGCGCAGGGCGGAGCCGCUCCAGGGAGCGCGGCUGCCCAGAACUUUGUGCCGGACGCGGCGGGGGCUGGACUCAGUGCGCUCGCCAGGUCCCUCCAGCCCGGUCCCGCGGCGCUAGGCUAGAGGCUGAGCCUCCCCGCAGCCCCGGCUCCCAGCGCCCAGAAGAGGGGGUGGGGAGCAGGAAAGAGCGAGACCGAGCCACAGCGCGGGAGUAACCCGCCCCUGGUCCCUUUGGCAGUGCGUCCCGGAGCUGAAGGCGGAAAAAGGGAAGCGGAGUUGAAGCCGGUUCCUCUGCAUGUAGGGAACAAGCAUCAACCUCGACUCUCCAGAGGAACCGAGCCAUAAUUAGAGUGUCCCUUGGGAUUUCUGGGCCUCCUUCCACUCUGGUUCUGUGGCUGCUUCUCCAAGUGGCGCCUUGGAGUUUCUAGCUGGCACCAUUACCUCCAACGAGUGGAGUUCUCCCACCUCCCC